rnacentral:rRNA from 1 species
GCCUACGGGGCGCAGCAGUGGGGAAUAUUGCACAAUGGGGGAAACCCUGAUGCAGCGACGCCGCGUGAGUGAAGAAGUAUCUCGGUAUGUAAAGCUCUAUCAGCAGGGAAGAAAAUGACGGUACCUGACUAAGAAGCCCCGGCUAACUACGUGCCAGCAGCCGCGGUAAUACGGAGGAUGCGAGCGUUAUCCGGAUUUACUGGGUGUAAAGGGGGCGCAGACGGCAAUGCAAGCCAGGAGUGAAAGCCCGGGGCCCAACCCCGGGACUGCUCUUGGAACUGCAUGGCUGGAGUACAGGAGGGGCG